UUCUGUGAUGAUAAACGCUAUAGGAAGUGCCGUCUGAUGCGAGAACUGACGAUGGCAAAGCAAAAUGAUUCUGAGA